rnacentral:rRNA from 1 species
CCUACGGGUGGCAGCAGUGAGGAAUAUUGGUCAAUGGCCGGAAGGCUGAACCAGCCAUGCCGCGUGAAGGUCAGUGCCCUAUGGGCGUUAAACUUCUUUUGUGCGGGAGCAAUAAUGGUCACGUGUGGCCAGACGAGAGUACCGUACGAAUAAGCAUCGGCUAACUCCGUGCCAGCAGCCGCGGUAAUACGGGGGAUGCAAGCGUUAUCCGGAUUUAUUGGGUUUAAAGGGUGCGUAGGCUGUGAGGUAAGUCAGCGGUGAAAUGCCCCCGCUCACCGGGGUGAAGUGCCAUUGAUACUGCCUGGCUGGAAUGCGGAUGCCGUGGGAGGAAUGUGUGGUGGAGCGGUGAAAUGCAUAGAUAUCACACAGAACACCGAUUGCGAAGGCAUCUCACGAAUCCGCGAUUGACGCUGAUGCACGAAAGCGUGGGUAUCAAACAGGAUGAGAUACCCGAGUAGUC